rnacentral:lncRNA from 1 species
CGGAGAAAAUACAGAAAGUGUUUAUUUUUGUUCUUGUUCUGUAUGUAGGACGAGAUGCCCUUUUUUUCUCUCCUUUUUGUUCUUGUUAAUUUUUGUUUUUCGUUUUUAGAAUGUUUGAAAAAUGGUCACCAAACUCAAAUUCAACUAAAACUGACAAGAUUCCGAAAACAUGGAAGGAUUUUAACAUUUUAUUUGAGUUUCAACUACAAGACACCGGUCAUUGCACAUAUCUCAUGCCAAAAAGUUAGAAUUCUAAACUGUGAAUUCAAUCGAUUUCCCUUCGAGUCUUGGUCGAAUUUCAUGUGUUGACCCACAGCGAACGGUCCAUCUCUGAUUCCUCACGAGACCUG